CUAUUCAUCUCACAAUGAGGUUUAUAUAGGAGUACCUCAGGUUUACAAAAGGUAACUAUUUAACGAUUACAUCAAUUACUCAUCUGAUUACAAUCAAGCAAUCGCUAAUUAUAUUAUGUUAAUCACCAAUCAAUCUUAAUUGGCGUAUAUCACGCAACACUAAUUGCUAUUACAUGAAUAGCCACAUUAAUAUUUACAACAUUAUUCACAUAUUUAUGCAGUUUGUAUGUAAUUGAUGGACAUCACAUUAAUUAGCUGCUCAAUAUGAUUUUCGGUUUUGAUAAAAAGGAAUAUACAAAGUUUUUUUUUUUUUCGUUGAAGGAGGUUAGACUUUGUUAAAAGAAAAGGAUUAUAACAGCAGUGCCAAGCCAUCCAAAGAAAAAGCAAAAAAAAAAAAAAAAACUAGAUGCACCACCUUUCAAAAAGAAAUAAAACUAGUUAGAUGGAACAACUGCAUCAAAAAUACAUGAAAAUAGAAAUAUAGCAAGAGCACUAGCGCGAAGCCAAUUUUACCACUACGGAUUGUUGCCGUAUAAUGAAUUUUGUGAUCGAUGGUAUGACUACUCAUGCAUAUCUAACGCACAAAAUGACAAAAAUCAAUUUUGUGAAGAACAGAGGAUAAUCUUCCAUCAAACGAUCGAAGUUGGCCAGGGAUGUUAGAACAUGACCAUGUUGACAGACGAUCCUUUACGAAAAAGUACCAUAAAUUCGAAUCCCGAAUCCAAUACCAAUAACGAACAGGGCCCAAAACCAAAGAAAAAAAAACAAAAGAAAAAAAAAAAGAUCAAUAGGGAAGAGAAUAUAACAUGGGAUAUACCUCAAGGACCAGGUUUUGCGCUGGCCUUACUUGCACUAAAGAGAGAAAGCAUCUCUUCUUUGGGUCUUGCCCUUUUCUUCCUUUCUUUCUCUGCUUCAUCUGUAAAACACGAAAGCAAUGGAGGAUAUCAGAAAGAGACGACCCAUGAAGACCGAAUAUCUGAAAACAUAAAUUAGCAACAAUCUUUUCAGAUAAAAGGAGGAGGAGAUAUGGCAUUAUAUUGCAUGGGAAUGUGUUCAAGGAUAUCCAUGGCAUAUGCUCCAUCUAUUCCUCUGCCCCUUAUUCCCUUUCUGGUUUCUCAAACUCAUCAGUGGCUAUAUAUACUGCACUCAGUUAUUGGUGCAUCAUGCAUGUGUGUGGGUUGUGAGGAACCUUGAUAGAUAAGCAAAUUAGUUGUAGGGCGUCUUUCCUUUGGCAGGCAAUGGUGGUUUUGUUUCGAUGGAUCGAUCACGGUUUUCGCCUUGUGAUUGAUUAUUGAUUUAUGAUCUGCCAAAGGAGAGUUGCCCUGCAACUCUUUCUGCUUAAUGUGAUCUACUGCGACAGUCUAAAAGGUUGUGUUAGUUUCAUGCAGGAGGUAUGGCAUAUCAGAAAACUCGGAAACAGAAUUGGCAAGGAACUUGCAGCUUCAGGUCACACACAUCUAUAGGGAGGGCAAUAUAUGUUCCAGCUGAUGUCCUUGCCAACUAUAGUGUUUCUGAUGAGGGCAAUCAUGGUUGGGGUGUCCUCACCCAGCUCUUGGCUCUUGCUUUUGGAUGUGAUUUUAAUGCGUGGCUGGCUUAUAGGUUCAGGUAGCUUGAUGAUGUAAUGAUGUAUGUAUUGUCUUUCUUUGUUCUCUUUUCAGUUGGGUUUUUGUUAGGUCUAGAGCGCUUUAGUAAGUUCACUCAAUCUCUUAUAUUAGGUUGCUUUCUUGAGCCUGGUUUUGGUUUGGUCCGCCGGAUCCUUUGUAUUUUCACUUUAUAUUAAUAAAAUUUUGGGUUAAGACGAUAA